rnacentral:sRNA from 1 species
AACACAUCUUGGAAGUCAAAUUGAUAUUUCAUGACUUCAUGCACAAGAAACUCUUCACACAACGUCAGCCGUACCUUGGUAGAAAAACUACCGGAAUGCUAGUAACUAAGUCGCAGACCAUCGCUCCGUACGCGCGCCUUCAGCCCUAUUAAAUUAAGCAGUCGCCGAUUUCCACCCCAAAAUAGGAAGACUGCGAUCAAUCCCAGCAGGCGGUUGGCUUUCAAAUCUCACAGGGCUGACCAGGAACUUUUGGCAAGCUCAGCCCCGGGCCGGGGUGUGCCCUGCCCAGAUAUCGUGGCUGUGCCGAACGCCCCUGACGACAUUCGGCGGCGGGCUGCACUGGCAACAUCUCCGAGAUGUGUUCCCGGAACCGGAUUGCUGCUCCCUUUUGAAUCGAAGAGGAGGUUUUUGAAGAGUGCUUUAGUUUUGCUUUCCUCUCCUUUUUACGAUUUGGAAAGGGUUGUUGUUCUCUCUCAUAUUUCGUCUCCCUGCACCUGGUGUUACUCGACGCGGUUCAACAAGUUACCUAGGCGGAACCGAGUUGCUCGCUCGAAAGCUCCCUGCUGGAAUACCCUGCGGCAACGGCAUCCUUGCAGGGCCUGGUUAGGCCGAUCGAUCACAAAGUGAUUUAGGGAGGUCCCGAUUACUCGGGAAAACUUCACAGCCCUAUGCCCGUCCGAUGAUCAUUCGAUAACUACAUCAGUACGCUUACCACACGCGUGCAUUGCGGAAGACCCUGUAUUGCAACAAGGGGCCCAAGUAGCUCUGUUCAUGCAAUUCAAUUCCAUUGGACAGAUGUUGUCGGAUUCCUUGUUGAACAUGAGGAAAAAUGCUUAGCCCUUAGCACCGGAGACUUCCUUUGGGGCCGUCGCAGGUUUCGAAAUAAUUGAAGAACCUUGGAUUAGUGGGCGAAGAAAAGAAAAGACAUAUAUAAUCAAAUACAAAACCAUCCUCCCUCUCAACUCCUAUUCCGUAUAAUCAUCCAUCUUCGCUAAUCACACUCCAAAACGUCCGCCCUAUCAAACGCCUGCCCAGUCUUGCUCAACAGCGCCUCCAACGCAUCCAUGUCCUCUGCCUGACACUCAGGGUACGGAACGGUAUCGUCAUAGUUUUCGCCCAGCCACCGAUCCAUAUACGGGCUAGGCCCAAACCCAUCGCAGAACACCAAAUACAAUUCCAUAUUCAACCUUAUCCUGAUCUCUGUCUCCAUUUCAAACGGAAUCCCACUGUUAUCCCACCAGUCCGGACUGCUACCGAACCGAAAAUGGCGAAGUUGAGGCAACCCUUCUUGGAACGCGCGGAAAUAGUCGUGCCAGCGCUUGGAGUAGCUGGCGCGGCCGUGCGCCUCACCGAAAAUGUUCCGUUUGGUGCCAGGGUGCAUCUCCGCAGGGGAUAGGUAACAAUUGUCCUUGUCGUAGAUGCCGACUUCGUAGAGGAUGGCGCAGUCGUCCAUGUACAGCCGCUGGAGGGUGGGGCCAUGGGAGAGGACCCAGUCCAGCUGGGUGUCGUGGACGAACCCGUAGUUCCCUAGGGAAAGGGAUUGGAGGUUUGGAAAGUGGAUGUCCCGCAAGUCGAGUUUGGGGUAGAAACCGAAGUAAAGCGUUGAGUAGAGGGUUAGGUGUCGGAGGGUAGGUGAUGCGGGCUCCAGCCAGACUGAAGGGAGUUCGCGAGUGAAUGUAUGGGCUUGUUGAUACUACGUAAUGAACACGAACAGGAAAGACAUGGUUAGGUGCAAGAUAUGAAAGGCAUGAUGAGGUGGGUAUAUCAAUUUCUCGAUUCAUCACAGGGUGCCGUAAGACGGAUCACUAACUGUAAGAUCGAUUUCACCGUUUCCUUCACAACACUCGUUAAGUAUACCAAAUCGCAGACUUCGCAGGUUACCAACCGCCUGUUUGAGAAUGGAAGCCGUCUCGGUGUCAUCCGGAUUGAUAUUUUGGUAAUUUUGCAGUCCCAGAGCAUGCGCCGGCUGGGCAAAAGAUGCCAAAGAAGAGAGAACGAGCGCCAUGAUCCUAGAACGAAAUUCGAAAGAUUGUGGUGGUGAAUUAUAAGGCUGUUCCGAUCCACACCGAGGAUCGAACCGGACGUUCAAGUUCCGCAAGUUUGGGAACACCUUCAGGUUCUGAACUAGUCUUAUGAACCGUCCUGGCAGGAUGGGGUCCUCGUCUGCUUUAAUCUGCCACUCCUGGAGCAGCAUAGGAUAGUUUUUAAGGAAUUUCUUGUUGCAGGAUGUAUAAAAAGUACAUUAGUUCUAGCGUUUCUGUCUCCCCAGUUACUGGUGUGAGAUAAUAUGCUUUCCAGAUCCCUUCAUGAAGCCAUAUACGUGACCAACCGCGAAGACCCAAGUUGAUUUUAUUCACAUAUUGCUUCAAUUCCUCAUGCGCUCGAACCUGCUCCAAUCGAACGCAGCUCGGAUCACCUACCGUGAGCCUCACUUCCCUAAAAAGCUCCCGAGUCGCACACUUCGAACAUCUAUGGCAAGUGAGACGAAGAUUUUUGAGUGAUUUUCGAUCUGAAAAGGAUGCGAUACGAGCCCAAAGUUCGCUCGGGAGCUGAGGGAUAGCCAGUGUCAUCCUGGCAGACUGAAAAGUAAGCCCGGCGGAAGUUAGGUAGCUGGUAAUUGACUCCCACUCUGAUGUCCCAUUUAUAAGUUUUUUUUUGGAUCGGCUGCGAAGUGCGGAGCAGCAACUCCCAACUCCAACUUCUUCCUGUAACUAAGCUUAACUUAGCGCCGUACUAUCAUCAUGAUGCCAAAGGAUAUCCUGCCGCCCAAAAGUAUCAUGAACGAAUGGCUCUCUUCCAAAUUGUCGACGAACAGUUCUCCACUUCAUUGCGAGG